CCUACGGGGGGCAGCAGUGAGGAAUAUUGGUCAAUGGACGAGAGUCUGAACCAGCCAAGUAGCGUGAAGGAUGACUGCCCUAUGGGUUGUAAACUUCUUUUAUAAAGGAAUAAAACGAGGCACGUGUGCCUUGUUGCAUGUACUUUAUGAAUAAGGAUCGGCUAACUCCGUGCCAGCAGCCGCGGUAAUACGGAGGAUCCGAGCGUUAUCCGGAUUUAUUGGGUUUAAAGGGAGCGUAGAUGGGUUGUUAAGUCAGCUGUGAAAGUUUGCGGCUCAACCGUAAAAUUGCAAUUGAUACUGGCAGUCUUGAGUACAGUAGAGGUAGGCGGAAUUCGUGGUGUAGCGGUGAAAUGCUUAGAUAUCACGAAGAACCCCGAUUGCGAAGGCAGCUUACUAAACUGUGACUGACAUUGAUGCUCGAAAGUGUGGGUAUCAAACAGGAUUAGAUACCCCGGUAGUC
rnacentral:rRNA from 1 species